ACCUGGGUGGCUCAGUAGGUUAAGCAUCUGACUUCGGCUCAGGUCAUGAUCUCACGGUCCGUGGGUUCAAGCCCCACAUCGGGCU
rnacentral:tRNA from 1 species